rnacentral:rRNA from 1 species
UAGCUGUCGUCAGCUCGUGCCGUGAGGUGUUGGGUUAAGUCCCGCAACGAGCGCAACCCCCAUCCCCAGUUGCCAUCAUUAAGUUGGGCACUCCGAGGAAACUGCCCGGGUUAACCGGGAGAAGCGGGAUGACGUCAAGUCCUCAUGGCCCUUAUGUCCAGGGCUACACACGUGCUACAAUGGGCGGUACAAAGGGUCGCAAACCCGUAAGGGGAGCUAAUCCACCAAAAGCCGUCCUCAGUUCGGAUUGAGGUCUGCAACUCGACCUCAUGAAGUCGGAAUCGCUAGUAAUCGCGGAUCAGCACGCCGCGGUGAAUACGUUCCCGGGCCUU